rnacentral:rRNA from 1 species
GACGAACGCUGGCGGCGUGCUUAACACAUGCAAGUCGAACGAGUGGCGAACGGGUGCGUAACACGUGGGUGCCCUGCCCUGCACUUCGGGAUAAGCCUGGGAAACUGGGUCUAAUACCGGAUAGUGUGGGAUUGGCCCGCGGCCUAUCAGCUUGUUGGUGGGGUAAUGGCUACCAAGUCGCGACGGGUAGCCGGCCUGAGAGGGUGGACGGCCAAAUUGGGACUGAGAAACGGCCCAGACUCCUACGGGAGGCAGCAGUGGGGAAUAUUGCACAAUGGGCGCAAGCCUUAUGCAGCCAUGCCGCGUGUAUGAAGAAGGCCUUCGGGUUGUAAAGUACUUUCAGCGGGGAGGCGUUACCCGCAGAAGAAGCACCGGCUAACUCCGUGCCAGCAGCCGCGGUAAUAC